rnacentral:lncRNA from 1 species
CUUUUUUAUUAUUUUGGUUUUCUGCCUGUUUUAGUAAUUAGGUUGAGUUUAUUCGAGUUAAUUUAAAAUUUAAAUGGCGUCUUAAUAAAUUUCAAUCUUGUUACUUCUAGUAUGAUUGCAUGAAUGGUUGUUAAUUUCGUCUGUGGAAUUGGACGAUUGGCUUGUUUGAUCUGAAUAAUUUCCUUGAUUCCAGCAAUAUCAUUCUUGAUCUCUGAAUCUGAACAUUGGUUCAAAUUCAUGCAAUUAGGAAAGGGCCUUGACUGUUUUGAUUCUCAUGGUUGUUCAUUAGUGUCAGUAAUCUCUUGAUUAUUUUAAGUUUAAAAUGUCGAUUAAUGGAUCGCAUGUUUUGAAGUAUCAAUUGCUGUGUUUUGAAUAAUAACUUCCCAUGUAUUGGGCCUGAUUUCUAAUUUGAUUGCUGAAGUUGGAUUGUUUGUCCUUGAGUAGUGUUAUUUGGAUUGGUUAUAGCUGUUAUGAUUAGGAAAUUAGUCUUAGGAGUUAGGUUUGGCACCAAAUAGAUAACUUGAGGGCAGUACAGGAUUUUCCCAUUUAAUUCUGGUAAAUUUAGGACAAAUACGGGUUUAUAUGGAGUAUUCGGGUUGUUUUUGAUAAUAUUGGGAACAAAUAAGAGUAAUAUAGGUAAUAUAUAAAGGGUAGAAAAUGGUAGAAGUCUUUAGACCCUUCUAGAAGGGGUCUUUAAUACAAAAUCAGUAGUACUACUACAGUAACUUGGGAAACAAGUCAAGAAAUAAGGGUCCAAAUAAGCAAAGUCUGAAAAAUUAAAAAGGGGACUUUAGGGUAAAACAAAA